UGGAGCAGGUGUGUGGGGGCCUUCCACUGGUCUUAAAGGUAAUUGGCAGAAGAAUGGCAGGCACACAAGAUUGAGACUAUGCUCAAAGCGAACCCAGCGAUUAACAACUCUUGAUGAGGAACAACAGGUACUGCAGCGACUCAAAAUGGGAAGACUGGCGAAUUGGAUUUUGGGAUCUAUUCAAAUGUCGGAAAAACACAGCAGAGGAGGUGCACGGUGUAAGAAGUACAGGAUUCAUGAUGCAGGCCCCAAGUGUUAUUUCAAGGCUGGGUGGUGGCAGAGAGAUGCGGGGACGCCUUAAUGAGUAAUUACAGCAAGAUUUCUCUGUUCUUAUGUAGCAUUUCUAAAGACAUCUUUCUACAGAAGAACAGGAUCAGAGUCUCCAACACCACUUGCCCCUGGAUCAAAAUCCCGCUCUCACUGCAUUGCCAAGCCUCUCUCUUUUCAAAAGCUUGAAGGUACUUUGCCUUAAAUUCACUGACCACAUAGCAUUCAAGA